UGAUCUAGGAUCAGUUGGUUAUGGAGCUGUGCUUGUAACUCAGAGGUUGCUGGUUCAAAUCCCAGGUGGGGUAG